rfam:Salmo salar isolate Sally breed double haploid chromosome ssa12, whole genome shotgun sequence.
UGCACGCAAAACUGUAAGUCACUUUGGAUAAAAGCUUCUGCUAAAUUGAAUAUA